rnacentral:misc_RNA from 1 species
AUGUUGCCGCCGUUCGUCCGCGGCAUGUGAUAGUCGAGCGUCACGAGGUCAUAGGUGUUCGUAUAGAAGUACUCGACGGCCUGCGUCGCGUCCUGGGCACAGUCGACGACGAAGCCGGCGCUCUUCAGGUACUCGCAUAAGACUUCUCGGACGUCGGGCUCG